rnacentral:lncRNA from 1 species
AACAAUACUGAAAGAGGAGACUCAUAUUUAUACCACACGAGUCUAGCGCUAAAAGAGUCCUAAAAAGGUAGAAAUUCUAGGUUAAACGUGAAAAAAAAAAGGAGAAAAAAAGGCUGCGUGAUUCCGUUCCAAUUGGAUGCAGUUUGAUCUUUCCACUCCAAAAAUAUUUCUUUCCUAAUUUCACUCGGAUUUGGAUACCAAUUUAUUCCCUUUCCUUUUGUCUGCCACUUUGAUUCCUUUUGCAAUUUUAAUUCCAACACGCAAUCAAAGACUCCCAAUCCAAUUGAGAGUCACAAAUCUAACAAUUUCCACCUUGACUCGAAAUUCUGGUGCAACGAACAAAGCUCCAAAAUUUCUUCACCUUGAGAAAUAAAUUCGUCUGCAUCACAAUAACCAAGCUUCUCAACACAGUACUAAACUCUCCACGAAAACAUGUUCCUCCGCUUGCCGUCGACAAGCGACACCCGAACCUAAACCUAGGUUCCCAAAAUUCCACCAAGGAAUUAAUAUUCACUAGACAGGGUCGAAGCACACUCUAUAGCAGAAACCAAACACAGUACUUGAUCAGAAAGUCCCUUGCCAGAACUAUCACCUUCAACGAUCCUCAAAGCAUCCCAGACAUUAUUGACAACACUGUACCUAUGCUCCAUGGAUCUCCCUCUGGCAUUUGAACACAGUGCAACUGCUGAAUUUGGUGGCAAAGCAGAAUCACCAACGCUUUCCCUAGCAAUAUUUAGAACUGAUCCAGAGCCCAACACAAGAGAUAUUGUACCAAACUGAAUGUCCACCACGAUACUGAACUUGCCCGAAUGUCUCCUAACUGGUUCUGCGUUCCCCUGCAAGAUGUAUAAUUUGGACUUUCUCCGUCCUUCCAGUACAACCCGGACACCCUUUCGAACCUUCAAGACUCCACCUCCAACAAAAAAUUUGUACCCUUUUGCAUCCAAGGUACUCAGUAAUAUGAGAUUCUUUGUCAAGUCUGGAACAUGACGAAUCUGAUCAAGUGUCCUCACUGUCCCAUCUUAUAGCCUUAAUCUGACUGGACCGAUUCCUGCAAUCCGACAAGAUUGGUUGUUUCCCAUGACAACUCCACCUUGCUUCACCGUCUCAUAUGUCUGGAAUAACGCCCUAUUAGGACACAUAUGAGACGAACAUGCAGAAUCCAGAAUCCACUCCUCAGGUUUGGAUUCCCCGUCAGAUAAAGCCAACAUCACAUCUUCAUCAUCACAAAAAUUCUUAGCAAUAUUAGUCUCAUUCGAAUUACCUGAUUGUCCCCACAUGAUUUGCAUGUAAAUUACCUUUACCCUGUAACUUGUCGCAAUCUUUCUUGAUGUGUCCUUUCUUCUUGCAGUAAUAACAAUACACAUUGCUAUACCUCACCUUCAAUCUACCCCUCCGUCGAUCACCAUGAGUAACAAGAGCAUCCCCACCCCUAGAUGUAGGAUCUCCAACCAACAACUCCAUCUUUACCUUUGAGAACAGGGCGCCGUGUACAUCCUCAAUGAUUAGCGUGUCACGACUAUAUAAUAUAGUAUCACGAAACGACGAAUAAGAGCCAGGUAAUGAACACAACAGGAUCAAGGCCAGAUCCUCUUCAUCAUACUUUACCUCCAACGUCUCCAGAUCUGCAACGAUUUUCUUGAACAUAGCAAGAUGGUCCUGCAGUAACCCUCAUUCCGCUAUGCGAUGGGAAUACAACUUCUGCUUUAGAGUCAGUUUGCUCGUCAGAUUCUUUGUCAUGCACAAUUGCUCCAACUUGAGCCACAAAGCAACCGAUGUCUUCUCCUUCAAGACAUCCUGCAGUAUAUUAUUAGACAAAUGAAGAUGAAUCAAUGAUGUAGCCUUUCUAUUCUUCUGUUGCUUCUCCUCCAUAGACCAAUUUGCUGGCAUCUUCUCAAAACCCAGCAAAGCAUCAUCAAGUUUUAUCUGCGUCAACACAGCCCUCAUCUUUACUUGUCAUAGCAAAAACCUUGUAUUGCGAUCAAGCAGUGAAAUAUCAUACUUCAUCGAAGCCAUCUCUAAAAACCUCAAUCAAAUCACGAAAAACUUGCAAUCUUGCUCUGAUACCACUUUGUUGGGAUCGAUGAUCAAUUAUGCAGGAAUUGAGAUUUAAUGAAUUACACAAUUGAAGUAAUAAAACAAGAUCACAAAGUAACCAAGAACAAGAUUAUAAAGUAAAAAAUGCAAAAUAAAAGGGAACUGACAGAGGAACGAUGUUAUUUUAUUUAAUCAUUAUGAAAGGAGAGAAUUACAGCAAUUGGCUUCAACAAUACUGAAAGAGGAGACUCAUAUUUAUACCACACGAGUCUAGCGCUAAAAGAGUCCUAAAAAGGUAGAAAUUCUAGGUUAAACAUGAAAAAAAAAAAAAGAGAGAGAAAAAGAGGCAGCGUGAUUCCAUUCAAUUUCGUUCCAAUUGGAUGCAGUUUGAUCUUUCCAUUCCAAUAAUAUUUCUUUCCUUAAUUUCACUCGAAUUUGGAUACCAAUUUAUUUCCUUUCCUUUUGUCCGCCACUUUGAUUCCUUUUGCAAUUUUAAUUCCAACACGCAAUCAAAGACUCCCAAUCCAAUUGAGAGUCAUAAAUCUAACAACCAUAUUGUAUAAAACGGUUAAAACAAGUGAUUAUAGCCCUUACAAAAAGAUCACUGACUUUUAAAUCUCUUUCUGCCCAUAUCACGUUGAGAUACCACGAUUUGUCAUAUUGGUUUAUGCUUUACAACUAUACAAUGACCUGUCAGAUAGGGAAUGCCCAUAAAUAUUUGGUCUAGCAAAAGCACAGAAUAAUUGGUAACGCCUUUGG